GUGUGUGUGUGUGUGUGUGUGUGUGUGUGUGUGUGUGUGUGUGUGUGUGUGUGUGUGUGUGUGUGUGUGUGUGUGUGUGUGUGUGUGUGUGUGUGUGUGUGAUUGCAUUAACGUGCCCUUUCAUUUGUGUACACUUACUGUGACAAUCUGUUUUCCUUUGUAGAAUAUGCCAGUUUGUUUUAAAGUAAGGUUUGGUAUGUAUACGUAUUUGACCAUAAUAUUUGACCCCCUAUUUCCGUACCUCUAUUUUCCCAGUCCACCUCUCUGUCUUCAGUCCCUUGUUGAUCUCAAGAUACUGCUGUAGCUCGCAGAGAAAAAAACAAGUAAUUUCUAAUCUCUAUCCAUGGUCAAAAUGUAUAUUUAGUGGGUUGGUGCUUUUAGACUGUUUUAUCGAUGCACCAUUACAGCCCGUUUAGAGUGAUGACAACAUAGUAUAAUACAUCUUCAGUUGUGUUUAUCAUUUAACUACGUCAAUCACCAGCAUGCAUCACUCUCCUCCAUUACCUAGUGACUAGAGCACGUACCGGCAUAUUUCCUCAACCCAACCUUGACAGAGGGCAGAGGGGAGGAGGGGAGAGAGGAGAGGAGAGAAAGAGAGGGAGAGCGAGAGGAGAGAAAGAGAGAGGAGAGGAGAUGAGAUGAGGGAGAGAGAGGAGGGGAGAGAAAGAGAGGGAGAGCGAGAAGAGAGAGAGAGAGAGAGAGAGAGAGAGGAGGAUUCUUAUUCAUGUGUUUUAGAGGUCAGAAUGAAAACCUGUGGUAAUGAUGUGUAUUGCUCCCCCACUGCGCUGGGGCAGGACAGAGACAUCUUGUGUUGUGCCUCUUUGUUCUUUGGCCAGGCAUAGCGGCAGCAUAGCAGCAGCAGGGUGUUAACCUGGAUAGAGGUAUCAAGUGGCCAAGUCCCCGGCUUCCAGGACUGAACCCUUUCCAAGGAGCUGGAUCGCUCGUGAAAUGAAAUAUCACCGGGACGAGGGUCAGGUCAGAGCGGCCCGCGUUCUGGUUCACCCCUCUCCUCCGUUCCUCUUUCUGUUGUCUUCUUCUUCUUACUUCCUCUGCUUUUUGGUAGACGCAACCGACUACUAAUGCCAAACAUCAGCGGCCUCUCCAGACAAAUACUUGGAUCUGAGGUUAGCGAGGAUUAAAAGCCCUCUGAGGCGAUUCCUGAGGUAUCUUCAGAGCUCAGCUCCAGGCUGUCGACCUCUCUUUUCCUCAUCCCGUCUUUCUUCUUCUCUCCAGGAGAAUGACCUCAUGUCUGGUCCACUGUCCAGCUCUAUUUCCUCUCUUCAUCCUCUCUCCCUCUCUUCAUCCUCUCUCCCUCUCCUCAUCCUCUCUCCCUCUCUUCAUCCUCUCUCCCUCUCCUCAUCCUCUCUCCCUCUCCUCAUCCUCGCUCCCUCUCUUCAUCCUCUCUCCCUCUCUUCAUCCUCU
rnacentral:lncRNA from 1 species